AAGUCGUAACAAGGUUUCCGUAGGUGAACCUGCGGAAGGAUCAUUACCAAAUCCAAAUUCUUAACCCCAUGUGAACUAUUGUUUUAGUCUGUCUUUGGGAGAAGGAAAUUUAUUUUUUCUUCUCCCAAUAGAGUCCGGCAUAACUUUAUUGUUGUGUCCAGAUUCGAAAAAACAAAACCAUAAACCACUUGAUUUUCUGUUGGAAUUACUUUUAUUAAUUUAUAAAUAAAAGACAACUUUUAACGGCGGAUCUCUUGGCUCGU
rnacentral:misc_RNA from 1 species